CACAUUUUUUAGAGUUACUUGUAAUUUUAAUUAAGAGGAAUAACACUCAAACUUUUUCUUAACGAAACAAAAAAUAUAUUUGAUAUUUAUACAGUAUUAAAUGAAACAAAGUGUAUAACUAAUUCAUAUAACUCAAGUAGGAGACAAAAAAGCGUUUCCUACGUUGCCAGCAAGCACAAAAUUGCUGAACGAGAUUGACUGGACGAAAUCACGCGCUGAUUGGCAACUGGUGUCACAUAUGACACAUAUUGCCUCAAGCGCAUUACCUCCGGCUGGCGCAUAAAUUUAACAGAUCGUUUAUUUGGAUAAGUUUAUAAAGUUAUUGCAUUUUUUGAUUAUAUGCAUUAACUCAAUCUGCUGACUCUAUAAAGGCCUGUCAGUGGAGAUAUUCACCAGUUGUUUCUUGUAUAGGAUUCUGAAAACAGAGUCUGAAUUUCUAUUUAAAGCUACGGUUGAUCAAGCGUCUUCCAAGAGCACAUGCGAACUUAUAUGCAGUGUUUUAUGCACAAAUAGAUUUCUCUCGCAGUGAUGAGCUAUGAGUUUUGAUUUGAUGUUUUAUUUGUACAACCUCAGUUUGUCAAGAAAGAUUUGCAGCUCGAUUGGAAUUUCUUCAUUAAUGAAACAUUCACUUAAUAGUCUAAGCGUUACUCCAAAUAUCAUCUCAGCCACAAAAACUUAGAUUCCCUCAUUAAAACUUGUGUGAAGCUUAUAAUGGAUUGUUGGAUGAUAAGCUGUUCUACGUAUAUUUUUACUUCCGAUAUUUCGACAAGAGAUUCGAAAUACUUGGUCUAUAUGAUCGGCCUAUUAUCGUUCUUCUUGACAUCUACUAACUGAGCGUGUAAUGACACUUGCACUUAGACUAUUUUAAGAAUGAAAGAUUUGCAGAAAUUGAUCAUAUUGUAGAAUCUACUAGUGCCUAAUACAUUCACUAAUAAUGCCAA